rnacentral:snoRNA from 1 species
AGUCGGCUUUGAGGACCAUCAUUAAGCUCAAUGCCAGUUCUGCUUCAGAAUAUUCUUCAUUGAUAAGAUGAUUAAUUUCUGAGCCUUUU